rnacentral:rRNA from 1 species
UCAUGGCUCAGAUUGAACGCUGGCGGAAUGCUUUACACAUGCAAGUCGAACGGCAGCACGGACUUCGGUCUGGUGGCGAGUGGCGAACGGGUGAGUAAUGUAUCGGAACGUAUCCAGUAAUGGGGGAUAACUAAUCGAAAGGUUGGCUAAUACCGCAUACGCCCUACGGGGGAAAGCAGGGGAUCUUCGGACCUUGCGUUAAUGGAGCGGCCGAUAUCUGAUUAGCUAGUUGGUGAGGUAAGAGCUCACCAAGGCGACGAUCAGUAGCUGGUCUGAGAGGACGACCAGCCACACUGGAACUGAGACACGGUCCAGACUCCUACGGGAGGCAGCAGUGGGGAAUUUUGGACAAUGGGCGCAAGCCUGAUCCAGCCAUUCCGCGUGAGUGAAGAAGGCCUUCGGGUUGUAAAGCUCUUUCGCAAGGGAAGAAACGAUGCAGACGAAUAAUCUGUGUUAAUGACGGUACCUUGAUAAAAAACACCGGCUAACUACGUGCCAGCAGCCGCGGUAAUACGUAGGGUGCAAGCGUUAAUCGGAAUUACUGGGCGUAAAGCGUGCGCAGGCGGUUUUGUAAGUCAGAUGUGAAAUCCCCGAGCUCAACUUGGGAACUGCGUUUGAAACUACAAGACUAGAAUAUGUCAGA